UCAAUCUGCACAAGUGGUUCUGAGGCUUUCCAUCAAAGCCUAAGCCUAAACCAGAGACAGAAAUACUGAAUUUUAGAAAAGCAGUUUAAGACAGAUUAUUGCCUUCAUGAAGCUUUGAGUCAAACAUAAGUGUGUGUUUGAGGAAGAGGAGAAGGAACUGAACACAUCAUAAAUGAAUGCUAAAUUCAGACAUUGCUAAACAAGAUAAAAAGAAGAUAAACAGUUUUCAUUGUAAGUGGAUUUCCCUUUUGUGUAUGUGUGUGUUUGAGACAGAUGGCAACUUUACAGCAUGAUGUUAGAAGAAAAAGUGUUUGGAAAGGGAAGAAGGAAGGCAAACAAGAAAAGCAAGCCUUGAAUAAGCAAUUUUUCUUAAAAGGAAUACAUUCUGGGACAGUUUAUUUUUGUGAUCUGCCUGGAAUUUGGGGACAAUGUGCUAGAAUUCUCUUCUUGCCUUCAGCUGGCAGACAGCCUAAAAAAGGUGGGGACUUGGAAGAGAGACACAGUGUUUCUAUUAAAAUAAGACUUUAUUGAAAGCAGGACCAGUGGCUAAAGUUAGUCCUUGGCUUUUUAAAGGCACUAUGGCUGGGUCUACGUGAACACUGAAGUGGAGAAUGGAAACUAUU